rnacentral:tRNA from 1 species
GGCUCUAUAGUGUAGUGGUUAGCACGUCUGCUUUACACGCAGAAAGUCCUGGGGUCGCCCCCCAGGUGGAGCCA